AGUGAACGCUAGUAAUAAGCCUAACACAUGCAAGUUGAACGCAUUAUAUAAUAAUGAGUAGCGUACGGGUGAGUAUUGGAUAAGAAUAUAACCAAAAGUACAAAAAAAAGACUGAUUUUAUUAAAGAGAUUUAUUUUAAUCGGAAAUGAAUGUUGUAUAAAAAAUAAAAAAAGAAUUAUCGCUUUUGGAUUGGCUUAUUUUAGUUUUAGGUAGUUGGUGGGGUAAGAGCCUAACCAAGCCGAAAAUGCUUAGCUGGUCUUAGCGGAUGAUCAGUCACAUCGGGGUUGAAAUAAGACCCGAACUUGUUUCAAGGCAGCAGUGUGGAAUAUUGGACAAUGGGCGCAAGCUUGAUCCAACUAUAUUACGUAAGUGAUUGAAGGUCAUAUUUUGUAAAGCUUUUUCGCUAAAUAACAGAAUGACAUUUAUUUAGAAAAGAAGCCCCGGCUAAUCUCGUGCCAGCAGCCGCAGUAAAAC
rnacentral:rRNA from 1 species